rnacentral:rRNA from 1 species
AUUGAACGCUGGCGGCAUGCCUUACACAUGCAAGUCGAACGGUAACAGGUCUUCGGAUGCUGACGAGUGGCGAACGGGUGAGUAAUACAUCGGAACGUGCCUAGUAGUGGGGGAUAACUACUCGAAAGAGUGGCUAAUACCGCAUGAGAUCUACGGAUGAAAGCAGGGGAUCGCAAGACCUUGUGCUACUAUAGCGGCCGAUGGCAGAUUAGGUAGUGGGUGGGAUAAAAGCUUACCAAGCCGACGAUCUGUAGCUGGUCUGAGAGGACGAUCAGCCACACUGGGACUGAGACACGGCCCAGACUCCUACGGGAGGCAGCAGUGGGGAAUUUUGGACAAUGGGCGCAAGCCUGAUCCAGCAAUGCCGCGUGCAGGAUGAAGGCCUUCGGGUUGUAAACUGCUUUUGUACGGAACGAAAAGCCCCGGGUUAAUACCCUGGGGUCAUGACGGUACCGUAAGAAUAAGCACCGGCUAACUACGUGCCAGCCGCCGCUGUAA